rnacentral:lncRNA from 1 species
CAUGGAUGGUGGUUAGUGGGAAAGAGGUAUAUUAACUACCUAUGAUCAUUUAUAAAAUAUUGAUGUGACUUUUGAUAAUUUGGCACAGUUAUUGUUGAGGAUAUGUUAACAUUCAUUUUGUUUUUCGUAGUUUAUUAUUUGUUAUUGUACACUACAUAAUCUGUAUACAUUCACAGAUAUUGUAGCACUCACUAACAACGACGGAAGUAUUCUAGAGGUAGAAUACGAGAUAUUGUAGAAUAGUUUCUUUAUUUUCUUUUUUUUUGUCUUUAUUUUUUUCUAUGUUUAUUUCUAAAUUUAAAUUGAUCAUUUAAAUAUGCAGUUAUCCAUGCGUUUGGUAAGUCAUCCCUAUACUGUUUGAUUUCCUCAGAGAAUGACGUUUUUUUUUUUGCUUUCCUUUUCUUUCCUUCCUUCUUUCUUUCUUUGCUUUAUUAUUUGCGUGAUGUAUUUUUUAUGCGAAUACUACAUAAUCUCUUUAUAUUUGAGAUAGAAUUUGAGCUUUUGUAGAAAAGUCUCUUUCUUUCUCGCUUCCUUUAUUUGUUUAUUUAUUUUAACAACAUUUGCAGUGAUAGGUGGAAUUGUUUGCUCUGAAUCCGCCCUUGCAUGGAUGGUUGGUCAGUGGCAAAUAGGUAUAUUAAGUACUAAUGAUCAUUUAAUUAAAUUUUCAGUGACUCUUUUGACCAUUUAGUUUUUAUGCUGACAGUGACAAUAUCGGUGCAGCAACCAGUGCUAUGUAUAACAUCGGAUACUUGAUCUAGGAUUUACCUGAAUGGCACAAUACGGAGGAACACUUGCUUUUUUCAUGGACUCCGAUAAUUCAGCAUUAGCAAAUGUUGUAGUGACAUUUAAUGGUUGCGACAUAGAUGGGUAAACUAUUUAGUACGAUCUCAAACGUUAAUCCUAAAUAUGGUCUCACGCAUUCGUUGUUGCUCGUCUACAUCUUUAGAUAAAUUUUGAUCUUAUUCAUUCUCAAUUUGGAAAAUUUUUGUCGGUUGCUGUUGGUGACUCGUUACUCAACUCACACUGAGUUAUAUUCUCUUCUAAGAAUUUCUGCUCGGGUCGGAUCCAAUUAAAUAUUGACCCGUCCGAAAACUUCCACUUCUUUAUAGUCCCGCUUUCGUUAACAUGGCUAGAGUCCUUAAAUUUAAUUAGUUAGGACCCAAAAGUCUGGCUUUAUUCCAAAUUUCUGCUUUCUCUGUCUCGACCAAAAGCAGAACUUCUCAGAUACCCAGCAACAGAGAAAGCAGAGAAGAUGGAUGUAUCAGCCUCAAAGCAGAGUGAGGAACUCACUAGCCAACUCGCGCUCUUUUGACUCACUUUGCGACUCUUUUUAACCCAGCACGCUUUUGAAGGAGUCUUCACUUACCAGCUCCUCACUGCCUCCGCCCAUCUCCCCCGAGUUGCGCUCAGCUUGACUCCGCUCUGCAAGCUGUUACACGUAAGAGGCACAAAAACGACGGCAAAAGCAGCGUUUCGGGGCCGGCCGAGAGCCACGAAAACCCGCGUGUCGUAUUGCGGCACGUGCGUAAAUAUAAUACAUGCGUAUAUAACGGACAUAUCCGCUGGUUUGAUAGAGCCACGGGUGGGUGAUCUGAAGUGUUAUCGACUGAUUGCCACGUGCGCGAUAAUGUAUACGGCCUAUUUAUACUGCCGGUCUCGUCAAUUUUACGCAGAUUCUGGUCUUCUUUCAACAA